UUGGUAAUUUGUUAAGAUAUGGUUGAACUCUAAGCAAACCAUGAGUUCCCAGGCACUGUUCUUCAUGGAAAUCGCAGUGUAGGAAGAUCCUGCAAUCACAAGGCAUAUGCCACCCUCCUCCAUACGAUGUAUUACUUAAGUAUCUGGAGAGCUCAAAAAACAAUAGUUUACAACCAACUUUUCUCAAGAACCUUGCAGGGGGUGGGGGAGAUGUCACACGCAGAGGAAAACACAAAAAUGAAUAAAUUCUUUCUUACCUUUAUAGAGAUUGGAAUCACCUCACAUUGUGUGGUGGCUUAAAUGAGCAAUGUCCCUCAGAGGCUCUGGUAUUGGAACACCUGGUCCCCAGCUGGUGGCCCUGUUUGGGGAGGAGGAUCGACCAACCAAUCCUCACAGAUCUGUCCUCUGAUCUGCACACUGUAAUGAAUACUGACAAUGCUGGGGAUACAGCUCGGUUGAUGGAGUGCUUGCUUAGCAUUAAUCGAGCCCCAGACCUUGGAAGGAGGAUCAAGAGCUCCAGUCAUCCUCAGCUCUCCAGGUAUAACGGAUCCAGCCAGUAGGCAGAAGACAACACAUGAAGCAUUCUCUACCGAGAAGCAGAUCUUCAUAAGAGAGCAACACUUGUCAAAUGAAUGAGAUUUCCAGAGGUUUGUUCCUGGUCUUCAAGGAGUCUACCCACAGGCUAAAGAUUAAGACUAACUGAAGGUCAAAUUGGAUGAAAUCAGAGUGAUAGGAACAUAGUAAGGGAGAAGAGAGCUGACGGGGAAAAUUCUGAGCCAACAAGAGAAUUCAUAAUCAAGAUGAGAUGGCUCAGCAAGUAAGAGUACUAACUGCUCUUCCACCUCUGGAAGACCCGGAUUCCAUUCCAAGUACUCACAUGGCAGAUCACAACUGUCUGUGACUUCAAAUCCUGAAGAUCUAACAUGCUGACUUCUAUACAUAAAAAUAAACAUAAACAAGAUGAAAAC
rnacentral:lncRNA from 1 species